UACGUAGGGUGCAGGCGUUAAUCGGAAUUACUGGGCGUAAAGCGUGCGCAGGCGGCUCCUUAAGUCAGAUGUGAAAGCCCCGGGCUUAACCUGGGAACUGCGUUUGAAACUGGGGAGCUAGAGUGUAGAAGAGGGGGGUGGAAUUCCAGGUGUAGCAGUGAAAUGCGUAGAGAUCUGGAGGAACACCGAUGGCGAAGGCAGCCCCCUGGGCUAGCACUGACGCUCAUGCACAAAAGCGUGGGGAGCAAACAGG
rnacentral:rRNA from 1 species